AGAUUGAACGCUGGCGGCAGGCCUAACACAUGCAAGUCGAGCGGUAGAGAGGUGCUUGCAUCUCUUGAGAGCGGCGGACGGGUGAGUAAUGCCUAGGAAUCUGCCUAGUGGUGGGGAUAACGUUCGGAAACGGACGCUAAUACCGCAUACGUCCUACGGGAGAAAGCGGGGGACCUUCGGGCCUCGCGCCAUUAGAUGAGCCUAGGUCGGAUUAGCUAGUUGGUGAGGUAAUGGCUCACCAAGGCGACGAUCCGUAACUGGUCUGAGAGGAUGAUCAGUCACACUGGAACUGAGACACGGUCCAGACUCCGUACGGGAGGCAGCAGUGGGGAAUAUUGGACAAUGGGACGAAAGCCUGAUCCAGCCAUGCCGCGUGUG
rnacentral:rRNA from 1 species